GACGAACGCUGGCGGCGUGCCUAAUACAUGCAAGUCGAACGAUUCUUUCCUCCCGAGUGCUUGCACUCAAUUGGGACGAGUAGGGGCGGACUGGGUAGUAAACCUUGGUUAACCUACCCAUCAGAUGCGGGUAACACUUGGUAACACCUGCUAAUACCUCGUAACAGUUUAUUCCGCAGUGCAUAAGAGUGAAAGUCUCUUUCAUGGGUCGCUGAUGGCUGGACCCGCGACGCGUUAGGUAGUUGGUAAGGGAACGGGUCACUAAGGACACGAUGCCUAGGCGACCCGAGAGGGUGAUCCGGCACAACGGGACUGGGACACGGCACAGACCCCUACGGGAGGGAGCAGUAGGGAAUUUUCGGCAAUGGACGAAAGUCUGACCGAGGAAAGGCGGCGGAGUGAAGAAGGGUUUCGGAUUCUAAAACUCUGUUGUUAGGGAAGAAAAAGAAGGUUAGUAACUGAACGUCCCCUGACGGUAUCUAAAUAGAAAGACCCGGCUAACUACGUG
rnacentral:rRNA from 1 species